rnacentral:rRNA from 1 species
UGCUAGCAGCCGCGGUAAUACGGAGGGUGCAAGCGUUAAUAGGAAUUACUGGGCGUAAAGCGCGCGUAGGCGGUUUAGUAAGUCGGAUGUGAAAGCCCAGGGCUCAACCCUGGAAUUGCAUUCGAUACUGCUUGACUAGAGUAUGGUAGAGGGAAGUGGAAUUUCCGGUGUAGCGGUGAAAUGCGUAGAUAUCGGAAGGAACACCAGUGGCGAAGGCGACUUCCUGGGCCAAUACUGACGCUGAGGUGCGAAAGCGUGGGUAGCGAACAGGAUUAGAUA